GCGGGCGCCCCUCCCCCAGCCUUGCUGCGGCCUUGCAGUUUGAUCUCAGACUGCUGUGCUAGCAAUCAGCGAGACUCCGUGGGCGUAGGACCCUCCUAGCCAGGUGCAAGAUAUAAUCUCGCGGUGCGCCGUUUUUUAAGCCGGUCCGAAAGCGCAAUAUUCGGGUGGGAGAGACCCGAUUUUCCAGUGAGAUGAACCCAGUACCUCAGAUGGAAAUGCAGAAAUCACCCGUCUUCUGCGUCGCUCACGCUGGGAGCUGUAGACCGGAGCUGUUGCUAUUCGGCCAUCUUGGCUCCUCUCCUGCACUGCAAGAAUGGACUAAUACGCUAUGUGAAGACAAAGGGGAUGUCUGCAAGCCAGGACGAGUGCGUCUACCAGAAACUGAGUUCUGCUGGACUUUGAUCUAGGACAUCCAGCCUCCAGAAUGGAAUGUGCCAUAUGUGGAGACCUGCAUGGAAAGGAACUGAGGAUGCUCUCUCACUAAAAGCUAGAAGGAACUGAGGCCCUCAGUCAACAGUCUACAAGACACUGAAUCUUGCCAGCAGCCAAGCAGUGAGCUUGAAAGCAGAUCUAUCAUCAGCUGAACCUUCAGAUGAGACCGCAGCCUAAGCAGAUACCUUGGUUGCAGCCAUGUGAGACAACCUGAAACAGAGGGCACAGCUAAGCCUCAGCCAGGUUCAUGACCCUCUGAGGAAACUGUGAGAAAGCAAAUGUCAUUUUAAGCUAUUUAAUUUUGGAGGUAGUUUAUUACACAACAAUAAAUAACUAUUAUAAUUAUCUUGAGGAUUUAUUUCCUGGGGAGAAUACAUGGAAUUGCAUAUAUAGGUCCUCAUAUGCAGAAUACUGGUACCCUAGAGAUGUUCACCCCAGAGAUGUUUUAGGAACCUGUGAAUAUGUUACAUUAAAUGGCAAAGUUUUCCUGGAUGGUUUAAGUUUAAGAUGGAAAAGUUUUACUGGAUUAUCCAGUGGGUCCAAUCUAGUAACAUGAGUCCUUAAAAAUGGAGAAUAUUUUUUGGCCAUGAUCAGAGAGACAUGUGAUGAUGGAAAAAGUGUCAGAGAUGCAAUGUGAGGGGACUAAAACUGCUGUUGCUGACUUUAAAGAUGGAGAGAGGGGAACCCGAGUCAAGGAAUGCAAAUGGCCUCUGGAAGCUGGAAAAAGCAAGAAAUGGAUUCUCCUUUAGAGCCUGUGGAAUAAAAUGCAGUCAUGCUGACACCUUGAUUUUACCUCAGUGAGACCAAUACUGGAGUAUGACCUUCGGAGCUGAAUAAAAUUAUACGUACACAUCUUAAUUUCUUGGGAUUUGAUUACUUCUUCUGCUUUGAAAUUAGACCAAGUUUAGCCUGCCUUUGCUAUUUUGGCGUAUCUCCAAUUCUUCAUGAUUUUCUCAUAGUGUUGCCUCCAUAUGAUGCAAAAUAUCCAACCUAGCCCUGACAUGAAAACUUAAUUGAAAGUAUCCAACAGUGGCGCAAAGGCCACAUAAGGACAGUGAGAAGGCAGCCACCUGCAAGCCAGGAAGAAAGGUCUCACCAGAUACCAACCCUGCCAGCAUGUUGAUCUUGGACUUCCAGCCUCCAAAACUGGCCUUCUGCUCACAUGGGCUUCCGUGCACCUGCUUCAGGAGACAGCAACACUUGCGCCCGCACCGCGGCAGGCUCCCAUCACCUGGUGGAUAUGCCGCGCCGAGUCUCAUCACACCUUAGUGAAGGAACACAUGGACCCAUAUGUUAGCGGAUGUAUUUACAUCGUUUUAUACAGAAAGGGGAAAUGGAGUCUUGCUCUGUCACACAUGCUAGAGUCCAGUGGUAUGACCUCAGCUCACUGCAAUCUCUGCCUCCCGGGUUCAAAUGAUUCUUCUGCCUUGACCUCCCUGGCAGCUGGGACUACAGGCCUGCACCACCACGCCUGGCAAAUUUUUUAAUUUUUUUUAGUAGAGAUGGGGUUUCACCAUGUUGGCCAGGCUAGUCUCGAACUCCUGACCUCAAAUGAUCUGCCCGCUUUGGCCUUCCAAAGUUCUGGGAUUAUAGGAGUGAGCCACCAUGCCCAGCCUGUUCUUAAGUCUCCUAGAACAGGGAUUCUGAAACACAAAACUCAUCUGGUGAGAAGAAUGAGAGCAAGAGAGGUUAAAUGGGUCGUUCAAGUUCAUAAAGUACUGACAGAAGAUGACCCUGAACUGUUCUCACUAUAUUAAAAGUCAGACAAGUAUUAUUAUUAUUAUUACUAAUAUAAGUAGCUCCAAUUUAUGUGAUUCUCAUGAUUUGGAGGACCUUACCUAUAUUAGCUUAUUUAAUCUACACAGCAAACCUAGAUGGUAAAUAUUUUCAUUGCCAUUUUACAGAGGAGGAACUGAGGUUCCUGAGGGUUAGGAAACUUGUAACAUGAACUCCAUACAGAUAUACAGAAUGAUAUAAACAAAUAAACAAAUACAUAAAUGUGGAAGAAGUAAAAGCUCUUCCUUGGAGUAAAAGGCCACCUAAUAAAUGAGGCAGGAAUGAUAAAAUUAGAGAAAUCAUUUGCAAACAUCACAGUAUUAAUUGCUUAAAGGAAGAAUUAUAAAUAGAUAAUAAAGCUAGUGGGUGAAACAUUAAUGGGACUAAGAUAUUUAUCUAGCCCCAAAAGUUUUGCUCCAUAAAAAUACUUACUUAGGCUGGGCAUGGUGGUGCACACCUGUAAUUCUAGCACUUUGGGAGGCCGAGGUGGAAGGAUUACUUGAGCUUAAGAGUUCAAUGGCAGCCUGGACAACAUAGUGAGACCGCAUCUCUAAAAAAAAAAUUAGCCAGGUGUGGUAGUGCGUGUAUGUAUUCUCAGCUACUCAGGAGGCUGAGGUAGAAGGGAUCGCUUGAGCCCCAAGUUGAGGCCACAGUGAGCUGAGAUUGCACCACUGCACUCCAGCCUGGGUUACAGAGAGUGAUCCUGUCUCAACAAUAAAAUAAAAUAAAAUGAAAAAAAUAUUUAUUACAAAUGAAAAAAAUGACAUGUUUACACUGGAGAGGCCUACAGGCAUCAUCUUAACCAAUGAUCAAAGUUAAUAUCUACACGAAUAGGACAAAUAAUAUCAUUUCCCUCCUGACCUCAUGCAUGUUUAAAACACAACAUAACUUCUUGGUUAUUUCUGUCAAGAGUGCAUAACCUGAAACUAAUCAUAAGAAACCACCAGAUGACCCCACGAUGAGAGGUAUACUAAAAAAUAACUAAGCUAUUAUUUUAUUUUAUUUAUUUUUUGAGACAGAGUCUUGCUCUGUUGCCCAGGCUGGAGUGCAGUGGCGCAAUCUCAGCUCACUGCAACCUCAGCCUCCUGGGUUCAAGAGAUUCUCCUGCCUCAGCCUCCCAAGUAGCUGGGAUUACAGGCUUCUUUUUGUAUUUUUAGUAGAGAGGGGGUUUCACCAUGUUGGCCAGGCUGGUCUCAAACUCCUGACCUCAGGUGGUCCACCCACCUCGGCCUCCCAGUUUUGGGAUUAUAUGCGUGAGCCACUGCACUCAGCCACCAGACUUUUUUUUUUUUCUUUUUACUUUUUUUGAGACAGCAUCUCCCUCUGUCGCCCAGGCUGGAGUGCAAUGGCACAAUCUUGGCUCACUGCGACCUCCGCCUCCCAGGUUCAAGUGAUUCUCCUGUCUCAGCCUCCUGAGUAGCUGGAACUACAGGCGCCCGCCACCACGCCCGGCCAGUUUUUGUGUUUUUAGUGGAUAUGGGGGUUUCACCAUGUCGGUCAGGCUGGUCUCGAACUCCUCACCUCAGGUGAUCUGCCCGACUCAGCCUCCCAAAGUGCUGGGAUUAUAGAUGUGAGCCAUCGUGCCUGGCCUAUUUUGAAAGCAACAUAUAAUCCAACUUUUUCUUUUGUUAUAAAGAGCAAUAUAGGAACAAGGAGUGAAACACCAAGGCAAUUUGACAGUUAAAUGGUAGAAGUAGAUCAGUGUUAAUUUCCUGAUUUUGUAAUUAUACUGUGGUUAUGUAACAGAAUGUUCUUGUUUUAGAAAGUACACAUUGAAUAAUCAAUGGUCAUCUUGUCUGUAACUUAAUUUCAAAUGUUUCAAUAAAAAUAUGUGUAUGUUUGUGAGUGAUAAAACAAAU
rnacentral:lncRNA from 1 species